AACGAACGCUGGCGGCGUGUUUAAGACAUGCAAGUCGCACGGGAUCAUUUGAGUAGCAAUACAAGAAUGGUCCAGUGGCGCACGGGUGAGUAACACGUGAAUUACAUGCCCUGCAGAGGGGGAUAGCCCAGGGAAACUUGGAUUAAUACCCCAUGGUAUCGCAAGAUUAAACGGUGGCCGCAAGGCUGUCGCUGCAGGAUUGGUUCGCGCCCUAUCAGCUUGUUGGCGAGGUAACGGCUCACCAAGGCUACGACGGGUACCUGGUCUGAGAGGACGAUCAGGCACACUGGAACUGAGACACGGUCCAGACACCUACGGGUGGCAGCAGUCGAGAAUAAUUCACAAUGGGGGCAACCCUGAUGGUGCAACGCCGCGUGGAGGAUGAAGGUCUUCGGAUUGUAAACUCCUGUCAUCCGGGAGUAAGACCUGACGGUUAACAGCCGGCAGGGUUGAUAGUACCGGAAGAGGAAGGGACGGCUAACUUCGUGCCAGCCGCCGCGGUAA
rnacentral:rRNA from 1 species